AUUUUACCAGCUACACCUACACCCUCAAUUCUACUUGAAAUUAAUCUUAAAGAAAUUUUGGAUUUGCUGAUAAUUUGAGAUCAGUAAAGAUCUUCCCUGAAAGUUCUAAGCAUGUGUGCUGAGUUGGAAGGGCUGCAGAAGUGGGUCACACUCACCCAACUGGAACUCGAAAGACUCAUAGAGAGCAAGCACUGGACAAUGGCCUGGUGUCCAUGAUGUAUCCCUGCCUGUCGUUAGUAAUCCUACUGAGGGCUAAGCUGGAGAGAAAUAGUCCUUUCAGCCACAAGUCUUAAUAGUUUGCAUGAGUGUUAAUCUGCUUCUCAUAGAGUCACCAUGAAACACACCUUAGACAGAAUAAUACAAAGCUUUAACGAAGACCCCAUAAGAACUUCAUAUCUGAGUACCAUUUGCAAUCGAUUUACAAAUAAUGCCAGCAUCCUUAGCGACUUCUUCAGGCAAGGUUAUACUGGGGGUUUUUGUGGCUAAGUAGGUGAACUGGGAGUACCGCACACAGCAUGGCUUCCAGCCUGAAGUGACUGACUGUAAAACGCCAGUGAAUAGAGAGGCUCAAGACUGAGUAAAGGAUCCUGCACACUCAACAAGCUCAUCCUUCUCUGCACCCGAGAUGUUUAGAGUCCCAGUUACAGAGCUUUCAGAAGGCAGAAUUCGUCCACAGCACACUAUUGAUGCCUAUCGAAGCUAAGGAAAUUAACUAAGAAGGGAAGAAAUAAUCUCCAUAGAAAAGGGAUUUGAGAACCCAGAAGAGAGUAUGGGCCUGGCAGUGUGCAUGUUGCAAACUAUGCACCAUCACUGGCCUAAAACGCACCUCUGUGUGCAUCAUUUACUCACGUUUAAAAAUCACCCUCUACUUGUUCUCCUGUGACCCUCAUUGGACUAUAUCCAGACAGCACUGAAAGUGAUAGCCAGAAAAAGUAGAAACAACCCAUGUGUUCAUCCACUGACGAACGGAUCAAAACAUGUGGCAUGUCCAUCCAUACAAGGGGAUAUUACCCAGCAGUCAAAAGGAGCAAAGAACUGAUGCAUACCACACCAUGGCUGAUUCUCAACGGUAUGUUCAGUGAAAGAAACCAGUCAC
rnacentral:lncRNA from 1 species